GUCUGCACAAACGGUGGAGCAUGUGGUUUAAUUCAAUACAACGCGUAAAACCUUAUCAGUCCUUAACAUAUGAAUCAACCUGUCCUUAAUGGGAUGAUACUUUCAUAUAGGUGCUGCAUGACUGUCGUCAUCUCGUGUCAU
rnacentral:rRNA from 3 species